rnacentral:rRNA from 1 species
AUGAACGCUGGCGGCGUGCCUAAUACCUGCAAGUCGAGCGAACAGACGAGGAGCUUGCUCCUCUGACGUUAGCGGCGGACGGGUGAGUAACACGUGGAUAACCUACCUAUAAGCCUGGGAUAACUUCGGGAAACCGGAGCUAAUACCGGAUAAUAUAUUGAACCGCAUGGUUCAAUAGUGAAAGACGGUUUUGCUGUCACUUAUAGAUGGAUCCGCGCCGCAUUAGCUAGUUGGUAAGGUAACGGCUUACCAAGGCAACGAUGCGUAGCCGACCUGAGAGGGUGAUCGGCCACACUGGAACUGAGACACGGUCCAGACUCCUAAGGGAGGCAGCAGUAGGGAAUCUUCCGCAAUGGGCGAAAGCUUGACGGAGCAACGCCGCGUGAGUGAUGAAGGUCUUCGGAUCGUAAAACUCUGUUAUUAGGGAAGAACAAAUGUGUAAGUAACUAUGCACGUCUUGACGGUACCUAAUCAGAAAGCCACGGCUAACUACGUG